UGGUGAUUGCCGCUAAAUGCAGACUACCAUAUUUGAGAAGAGUAUGAUUGAAACAAUGGUGGUGGUUUUCUUCCAAAACAAGAUAUUUUACCUGAUAAAGAUCACAUAUUUUAGGAAGAGCUAAUGCUGACUGAUUACAAAGGUGUAUGCCAUGUUGCUCUUGCACAAGGUCAUUGUAGGCCUCGAGAGGUGUUACUUGGUACCGAUUCCUACAUGUGUACUGCUGGAGCAUUUGGCUAGUUUGCUACAAGAAUCGAAAACACUGAUGCCGAAUUUGUGUUAGGAACCGGAAAGCUAUUGCUUAAGGUGCCUCCAACCUUAAGAUUCGUAUUGGAUGGAGAAAUGUCAGGUUAUCUUCUUGCAAAAGAUUUGAUUUUACAAAUAAUUGAUGAAAUAUCUAUAUUUGGUGCCACAUAAAAAACAAUGAAGUUUGUUUGUUCAACUAUCGGUCUAAUAUACUGAAAGAACACAACUCAUAUUCAAUAAAGCUUUCUCGAGAGGCCAGAUAAUAAAAAGCUCUCGGUCUCCAAAAUAGCCCUAUAAACGCAUAACGUCCUUCAAGAUCGAUAGAGGUGUCUCUCUUCUAUAUCGUUAAUCUAUGCUUUAAACAUGCGAUUUUAUUCUGACUUAUGUAUUAGAGAACUCCCACAGUAUAUCUCUUCUCGUUUGUAUUAUAUUAAGGAGAUUGCAUAUUGAGGACUUCACCAAAAAAAAAGGCAAAUAUCAUUAGUCAUA